rnacentral:rRNA from 1 species
CCUACGGGCGGCAGCAGUGAGGAAUAUUGGUCAAUGGACGAGAGUCUGAACCAGCCAAGUAGCGUGAAGGAUGACUGCCCUCUGGGUUGUAAACUUCUUUUAUAUGGGAAUAAAAUGUUCCACGUGUGGGAUUUUGUAUGUACCAUAUGAAUAAGGAUCGGCUAACUCCGUGCCAGCAGCCGCGGUAAUACGGAGGAUCCGAGCGUUAUCCGGAUUUAUUGGGUUUAAAGGGAGCGUAUGUGGAUUGUUAAGUCAGUUGUGAAAGUUUGCGGCUCAACCGUAAAAUUGAAGUUGAAACUGGCAGUCUUGAGUACAGUAGAGGUGGGCGGAAUUCUUGGUGUAGCGGUGAAAUGCUUAGAUAUCACGAAGAACUCCGAUUGCGAAGGCAGUUCACUGGACUGCAAUUGACGCUGAGGCUCGAAAGUGUGGGUAUCAAACAGGAUUAGAUACCCGAGUAGUC